rnacentral:rRNA from 1 species
GACGAACGCUGGCGGCGUGCUUAACACAUGCAAGUCGAACGGAAAGGCCCUGCUUUUCUGGGGUGCUCGAGUGGCGAACGGGUGAGUAACACGUGAGUAACCUGCCCUUGACUUUGGGAUAACUUCAGGAAACUGGGGCUAAUACCGGAUAGGAGCUCCUGCUGCAUGGUGGGGUUGGGAGAUUUUUGGCUGUGGGGGAUGGACGCGCGGUUUAUCAGCUUGUUGGUGGGGUAGUGGCUUACCAAGGCCUUGACGGGUAGCCGGCCUGAGAGGGUGAACGGCCACAUUGGGACUGAGAGACGGCCCAGACUCCUACGGGAGGCAGCAGUGGGGAAUAUUGCACAAUGGGCGGAAGCCUGAUGCAGCGACGCCGCGUGCGGGAUGACGGCCUUCGGGUUGUAAACCGCUUUCGCCUGAGACGAAGGGUGAGUGACGGUAAUGGGAGAAGAAGCACCGGCUAACUACGUG